AUUCCCACCAGAAAUUCAUGAAAGUUCCGGUUGCUCUGCAUCCAUGUCAGCAGUUGCUAUGCCACAGAAGUAACGUACUAUCUUAAAGAGAAGGUUUUCUCUAUGGUUGUGCUACAAGGACUUUGAGGCCUUUGGUCUAGGAAGACACAUGAACAGGUGAUGUUGAGGACUAAAAGGGAAAUGGCCCUGAGAGAAGACCUGCCUUCUGCUCCCUGGGGAAACAGACCUUCCUUGCUGCUGGGACAAAGAAGAAGGGAAUUUUUUUCCGGUCCAAAUUGGCACAUAGUACUAAAGGAAAAACCCAUCCCUGAGCAGCAGUCUAUAAUUUUGGUGUGAAGCAGUCUUGUCCCACUUAUUAAAGGAGGUGUGUACCUGUGUCAGGUACUGUAGCCAGAAAGGGUUCUAGUGGUAGAAAGCCUAGCACUGAUUACAUUUACUGAAUACAUGGAAAGUUAGUGAUGGCACCAUUUAAAAAGCCAGACCAAAAGCUGACAGUCAUAUCAGCUACAAUAUGGCGGGAGGCAUUAUUACUGUGUUGGACCAAAGUCUUCAUGUGAGCAGCACCAACUGUAAUGACUGGAGGGGUUGCCAAGGCAACAGUGCAGCAAUAACACCAUUAUUUUGACAGGAGAGACUGGUUGUUAAUCAGGUUAAUGGAGACAGUAAUGAGAGUUUGUGAGUACCCCCAGCUCCAUUCCAACCUGAUCUGCUGCCCUGUUCAAACUUUCACCUAAUUAGAUGCCAGGGAACAGAAGAUACUAAGAAGAACUAGGGUUUCCGUAUUUAUUCUAAAGGGAAUUUGUCUGCAGAAAUUCUUUGUUUGCUUUACCUUUGUUCUAUUACCCACACUAUUCCAUUGUCCUGCUCAGCACUGGUGGCUUUCAAUUACCUAAUUUUCUUCGAGGGAAGUAGCUCACUGUUGUGGACGUG